rnacentral:rRNA from 1 species
CCUACGGGCGGCAGUAGUGGGGAAUAUUGCACAAUGGGGGAAACCCUGAUGCAGCGACGCCGCGUGAGUGAAGAAGUAUUUCGGUACGUAAAGCUCUAUCAGCAGGGAAGAAAAUGACGGUACCUGACUAAGAAGCCCCGGCUAACUACGUGCCAGCAGCCGCGGUAAUACGUAGGGGGCAAGCGUUAUCCGGAUUUACUGGGUGUAAAGGGAGCGUAGACGGCAGCGCAAGUCUGGAGUGAAAUCCCAUGGCUUAACCAUGGAACUGCUUUGGAAACUGUGCAGCUAGAGUGCAGGAGAGGUAAGCGGAAUUCCUAGUGUAGCGGUGAAAUGCGUAGAUAUUAGGAGGAACACCAGUGGCGAAGGCGGCUUACUGGACUGUAACUGACGUUGAGGCUCGAAAGCGUGGGGAGCAAACAGGAUUAGAUACCCCAGUAGUC